rnacentral:rRNA from 1 species
AUUAGUGGCGAACGGGUGAGUAACACGUGAGUAACCUGCCCUUGACUCUGGGAUAAGCCUGGGAAACUGGGUCUAAUACCGGAUAUGACCAUCUGACGCAUGUCAUGGUGGUGGAAAGCUUUUGUGGUUUUGGAUGGACUCGCGGCCUAUCAGCUUGUUGGUGGGGUAAUGGCCUACCAAGGCGACGACGGGUAGCCGGCCUGAGAGGGUGACCGGCCACACUGGGACUGAGACACGGCCCAGACUCCUACGGGAGGCAGCAGUGGGGAAUAUUGCACAAUGGGCGGAAGCCUGAUGCAGCGACGCCGCGUGAGGGAUGACGGCCUUCGGGUUGUAAACCUCUUUCAGUAGGGAAGAAGCGAAAGUGACGGUACCUGCAGAAGAAGCGCCGGCUAACUACGUGCCAGCAGCCGCGGUAAUACGUAGGGCGCAAGCGUUAUCCGGAAUUAUUGGGCGUAAAGAGCUCGUAGGCGGUUUGUCGCGUCUGCUGUGAAAGACCGGGGCUCAACUCCGGUUCUGCAGUGGGUACGGGCAGACUAGAGUGCAGUAGGGGAGACUGGAAUUCCUGGUGUAGCGGUGAAAUGCGCAGAUAUCAGGAGGAACACCGAUGGCGAAGGCAGGUCUCUGGGCUGUAACUGACGCUGAGGAGCGAAAGCAUGGGGAGCGAACAGGAUUAGAUACCCUGGUAGUCCAUGCCGUAAACGUUGGGCACUAGGUGUGGGGGACAUUCCACGUUUUCCGCGCCGUAGCUAACGCAUUAAGUGCCCCGCCUGGGGAGUACGGCCGCAAGGCUAAAACUCAAAGGAAUUGACGGGGGCCCGCACAAGCGGCGGAGCAUGCGGAUUAAUUCGAUGCAACGCGAAGAACCUUACCAAGGCUUGACAUGAACCGGAAAGACCUGGAAACAGGUGCCCCGCUUGCGGUCGGUUUACAGGUGGUGCAUGGUUGUCGUCAGCUCGUGUCGUGAGAUGUUGGGUUAAGUCCCGCAACGAGCGCAACCCUCGUUCUAUGUUGCCAGCGCGUUAUGGCGGGGACUCAUAGGAGACUGCCGGGGUCAACUCGGAGGAAGGUGGGGACGACGUCAAAUCAUCAUGCCCCUUAUGUCUUGGGCUUCACGCAUGCUACAAUGGCCGGUACAAAGGGUUGCGAUACUGUGAGGUGGAGCUAAUCCCAAAAAGCCGGUCUCAGUUCGGAUUGGGGUCUGCAACUCGACCCCAUGAAGUCGGAGUCGCUAGUAAUCGCAGAUCAGCAACGCUGCGGUGAAUACGUUCCCGGGCCUUGUACACACCGCCCGUCAAGUCACGAAAGU